rnacentral:rRNA from 1 species
AGAGUUUGAUCCUGGCUCAGAUUGAACGCUCGCGGCGUGCUUAACACAUGCAAGUCGAACGAUGAACCUAGCUUGCUAGGGGAUUGGUGGCGCACGGGUGAGUAAUAUAUAGAUAACGUGCCUCUUAGUCUGGGAUAGCCAUUGGAAACGAUGAUUAAUACUAGAUACUCCUUCUCUUUAUAAUGAGAGUCGGGAAAGUUUUUCGCUAAGAGAUCGGUCUAUAUCCCAUCAGCUUGUUGGUAGUGUAAGAGACUACCAAGGCUAUGACGGGUAGCGGGUUUGAGAGGAUGAUCCCCAAACUCCUACGGGAGGCAGCAGUUAGGAAUAUUGCACAAUGGAGGAAACUUCUGAUGCAGCAACGCCGCGUGGAGGAUGACGCAUUUCGGUGUGUAAACUCCUUUUAUGAGUCAAGAAAAUGACGGUAGCUCAUGAAUAAGCACCCGGCUUAACUCCGUGCCAGCAGCCGCGGUAAUACCGGAGGGUUGCAAGCGUUAUAAUCACCGGGCGUAAAGGACGCGUAGGCGGGAAGCCAAGUCUGAUGUGAAAUCCUAUGGCUUAACCAUAGAACUGCAUUGGAAACUGGUUACCUAGAGUAUGGGAGGGGGAGAUGGAAUUAGUGGUGUAGGGGUAAAAUCCGUAGAUAUCACUAGGAAUACCGAAAGCGAAGGCGAUCUCCUGGAACAAUACUGACGCUAAGGCGUGAAAGCGUGGGGAGCAAACGGGAUUAGAUACCCCGGUAGUCCACGCCCUAAACGAUGUUCACUAGUCGUCGGGAUGCUAGUCAUCUCGGUGAUGCACUUAACAGAUUAAGUAACCGCCGAAAGACGGCU